rnacentral:rRNA from 1 species
CGGGGGGACGAGCGUUGUUCGGAUUUACUGGGCGUAAAGGGCGCGUAGGCGGGUCUUCAAGUCGGAUGUGAAAACUAUCAGCUUAACUGGUAGCCUGCAUUUGAUACUGUUGAUCUUGAGUACGGGAGAGGAGAGUGGAAUUCCAGGUGUAGCGGUGAAAUGCGUAGAUAUCUGGAAGAACACCAGUAGCGAAGGCGGCUCUCUGGACCGAUACUGACGCUCAAGCGCGAAGGCUUGGGGAGCAAACAGGAUUAGAUACCCUGGUAGUCCAAGCGGUAAACUAUGGGUACUAGAUGUCUGGGGUAUCGACCCCCUCGGUGUCGCAGCUAACGCAGUAAGUACCCCGCCUGGGGAGUACGAUCGCAAGAUUG